CCCCUAAACUACCAAGGUGGGACUAUUCCCAUUUCCUCAUCCCACUACAUGAAUGAGCUUUUGAGAUUUUUCAGGAUUUAAUUUCAGCUUGGGCCUUGGGCCUAACCCAAAAUUUCAACAGCUUGUUCCUGUGCACCAUAUGCUAGUUAGAUUGUUAAGGAAGAUGGUAUGCGUAAAUUAUUAUUUUCGAACGAGAAACGAUAUUCAGAAAUUACUAAGCAUCCGGGUUACUAUUUCAAACCAAAGACUAGCUCACAUCAAGCUAAUGACGGCGUUCAGUCUAUUGAUAUUGGAAUGGCGAGUUUUUUGUGCCCUUGGGCUUUUUUCUCAUUUUUUUUCCUCUUGCUUCAUGGUUUUUGUAUCUGCAUGUCGACGUUUUGUUGACCCUCUUGGCUAUAAAAUGACACACUAUGGCGUUUCAUAAAAAAAAAAAUUGGAAUGGCGAACAGAAAGAACGGUCUUCAGGCACGGCAGCAUUAAUUAUGUGAUGGGUUCGUUGCAUGGAAAACAAAACGUUUCCUACGAGAAGUGCGGAAGAAACCCAAGAACAUAUCUACUAGAUGUAAGUAACGAAAGCAAUCAUGAGCAUCAUACCCUCGUAUACCACAAAGCGUUACGAUCACGGGAUCGUUGUUGGUGUAGUGGAACUUUCGAUGAGAUCAAUCUCAGUGCAGAAACGACGGCACCUCCUUGGUAUCCACACGUUCGGCUUCACGCCGUCUCCUCCUUUUUGAUCCAGCAAGCAAGGAGAAGAGGUCGAUGAGAUUCCAGUAGCACGACGGCGUGGUGUAGGCUAUGGUGGAG
rnacentral:lncRNA from 1 species